CGUUCUAAUUCCAAUUUCUAAAUUGUAAUGAUAGUCUUAGUUGUUAUAUGCAUUGAUUAAACAUUAAGUAAGAACAAUGUGGUCCUUAGUGUCAGUAUUUGGUUUUAGCGCAUGUUAGUACUUUCUAUAUUUUGCUAUUAUAAUACUUUUCCCUUUCCUUUUUAUGUUUGGUCUUUGUUUUGUUGAAUGAUGAAAUGAAAUAUCCCUGUUACAGAUAUAUCAUAUCAGCCACAUCACCUUCUAAAGUUAUUCCAAAGAUGGAGACAAGUUAUGAAAUUCUUUGCAAAACAUUUAAUGAUGAAGCUAAAACUAUUUUGGAGGUGACUGAAAACAAAAGCUUUUGAGUGCAUUCAAUCUGUGAACCCUGUGCUUAUUUUAGUUGAUGGCAUGUCAUUAAUUUUCUCCCAAAAGAUAAUUUUAAAGUAUAAAUUCAUAGAAUGCUGUUAU